rnacentral:rRNA from 1 species
ACUCAAAGGAAUUGACGGGCACCCGCACAAGCGGUGGAGCAUGCUGUUUAAUUCGACGGUACGCGAAAAACCUUACCUAGGCUUGACAUCCCUGGCAAUACUGUAGAAAUACAGUGGAGGUUACCCAGGUGACAGGUGGUGCAUGGUUGUCGUCAGCUCGUGUCGUGAGAUGUUGGGUUAAGUCCCAUAACGAGCGCAACCCUCGUCCUUAGUUGCUAACAUUAAGUUGAGAACUCUAAGGAGACUGCCGGUGAUAAACCGGAGGAAGGUGGGGAUGAGGUCAAAUCAUCAUGCCCCUUACGUCUAGGGCUACAGGCGUGCUACAAUGGUCGAUAUAAUGAGAUGCAAUACUGUGAGGUAAAGCAAAUCUAUAAAGUCGAUCUCAGUUCGGAUUGGAGUCUGAAACUCGACUCCAUGAAGUUGGAAUCGCUAGUAAUCCCGAAUCAGAAUGUCGGGGUGAAUACGUUCUCGGGUGUUGUACACACCGCCCGU